rnacentral:rRNA from 1 species
GCUAAGCCAUUAACAUUGAUAGCUAUUAUACAACCUCUCCGCCAGAGAACUACAAGUGAAAAACUUGAAACUCAAAGGACUUGACGGUGUCCCAUAUCGACCUAGAGGAGCCUGUCCUAUAAUCGAUACCCCCCGCUCCACCCAACCCCAACUAGCAUACGUCAGCCUAUAUACCGCCGUCGAUCAGCCUACCCUAUGAAAGUCCAACAGUAGACACAAUAGCCCCACCGCUAAUACGUCAGGUCAAGGUGUAGCAAAUGUUGUGGAAGAGAUUGGCUACAUUUUUUAUUAUAAAAAAUACGAAAUAUACCAUGAAACAGUAUAUGAAGGUGAAUUUAGUAGUAAAAUAAACAAGAGUGUUUAUUUUAACAACGCUCUGGGACGCGUACACACCGCCCGUCACCCUCCUCAACCAACCUAAACACUACCAUUUAUAAACCAACAAGAGUUAAAAUAGAGGAGGU